rnacentral:misc_RNA from 1 species
UACAGAGGGUGCAAACGUUGCUCGGAAUUACUGGGCGUAAAGAGCGUGUAGGCGGUCUGUUAAGUCGACUGUGAAAGCCCAGGGCUCAACCCUGGAAGUGCAGUCGAUACUGGCAGACUUGAGUCCCGGAGAGGAUGGUGGAAUUCCCAGUGUAGAGGUGAAAUUCGUAGAUAUUGGGAGGAACACCGGUGGCGAAGGCGGCCAUCUGGACGGGUACUGACGCUGAGGUGCGAAAGCGUGGGGAGCAAACAGG